AAUUAACGAUUUAAGUCGUUCUUAAAUGAGGCCAUUUACCCAUAGAGGGUGCCAGGCCCGUAUAACGUUAAUGAUUACUAGAUGGUGUUUCCAAAGAGUCGUGUUGCUUGAUAGUGCAGCACUAAGUGGGUGGUAAACUCCAUCUAAAACUAAAUAUAACCAUGAGACCGAUAGUAAACAAGUACCGUGAGGGAAAGUUGAAAAGAACUCUGAAUAGAGAGUUAAAUAGUACGUGAAACUGCUUAG
rnacentral:ncRNA from 1 species